UAACGUUGGUUCAGAAAAAAUGGUCGGCAAUGUACUUCCGGAACACGACUGAUGUGAAUAAUGUUAUGAUUAACAAGAAAUAAGCAUAUUCUUCGUUUCAUUUGGUGUCAUGGAUAGUAUGGAAGACAGCGGAUUUGAUAGUGACCAAAAAUCAAUGCUCAACGGAAGUUCGGAACCACAGAGUACCAAAUCUUCCUCAUCAAAGUCACCCGCCAGUUACUCAGAUGCCAAGACACAGAGUAAUGCCCACAGAAAAUCUUCACAGCUCCAGAAAAAGAUUGAGCGACACCGAGAAAAUGCUAGGAGGGCUAAAGUUAUUAAUCAACAGCCAAGCAAAAAUACUUUUAUGAUGCCAAGAAGCCGACUGAUGCUUCCUCCUAGAUCAGAUGCCCAGCCAAGACCUCUUGACCAGCAACCAUUGGUAGCCAUAAUGACUGACGAUGAGAGCGAUGAUGAUGAUGAUUUUGAGUCUCCGAUGAUAUCACGAGGUGCUAACAAAGACAUUACCCAGCAGUUAAUUAAGGACGGCUAUAAUCUUGACCUUGAACCUGAUGACGAGGACCUUGAUCUAAUUCCUCCACGACCUAUGAAUGAACGAUGUGUGUGUUGUCAGAAUUAUACGGGAACAUGUUCUAUACAGUGAUUAAAGUGUGCCAAGUUGGGAUAGGAAUAUUAAAGUCAACUGUGAAGAGGAUCAUCUGAAAAAACAAGGGAGACAUAUAUUUUUGUUGCACAAAUUAUACAGUAACAGAGCUUUACUUGUAAAGGAGAAAUUGUUGUAUAUUUGGUCAUGUGUAUAUGAAAUGAACAGAAUUAAGCAUUUAAAAUAGAAACUUGAUAUACAAACACAAAUUUGGUAGAAAACUAUGACAUAAGAUUGUAUUGGUACAUACCGUACACAUGUUUAUGUUAGUUGCUAAUCAAUUAUUUGUAUAUUUUCAUUUUUAUUUUUGCUUAUUGUUAGCUUUCAUAGUCUGAAGAUUCAAGGUGAGCUUAUGUCAAAUUACAAUGUCCGUUGUCUAUCAACAAUUGAUGUAAAAGACAUCUCCUGAACUGCUUUGCUAACUACCCAGAAGCAAGGGGCCUGCAUAGUGGCAAGAUUAAUGGUACACAAGAUUUUAACAUUAUUGCUUUAAAUGAGAAUUUUGCUGGCUGAAUUUCAAUUACCAUUGGCUGAGAAUUCUAAACUUUCAUUGACUUCCAACAGGUCAAUUUAGCCAAAUUGAUACAAAUAUUCUUUGCUUUGUCCAUAUUAAAUUGAGUUUUGUUAUUGUUAUUGGUUGGGACCUUGGUAGUUCCAAUAUGGCCACCAUGUUCUCAAUUGACAAAAACGUUUUUUCGAAUAUUGUCUUGUUAGAUAACAAAUAAAAACAGAUGAGCGAUUCAGGUCCCAUGGGCCUCUUGUUUGGUAUGGAGCCCAGUGUAUAUACAAUGUAUAAGCUUUUUAUUGUUUUAAUUUUCAAGCUCAUUCCAUGAUGAAUAUUAUAUCAUCAUGGACUUUCAUGAACCUGUAUUUAUAUGGAUCUCUUCUGGCUAAUGUAUGAACAUUAUGGUAUUGGUGUAUUAUUUCUCAUAAGGAUUAUAAGUAUAAAAUUUAUUCCUGCAAUUUUUGGUUGUCUAACAGACCAUUGGAGAAAUUGGAAAAUUGUGCAAUUUUUUUUUAUUUCUUUGUUUUAAAAUCAUGUGUUUAAAUAUAAUUAAUCAAUAUCAUUUGGCAUGUUUUGUUUACCCUGAAGGAUUUUCCCUGGAGUUUUUUCCUAUCGCUUUAAGGCAUUAGAUCUGAUGGGCUAUCGCUAUAAGGCAUUAGAUCUGAUGGGCUAUCGCUAUAAGGCAUUAGAUCUGAUGGGCUAUUACACUGUAUCUCAAAUCAUUAUUUGCAAUUUUAUUUAGAAGUAGUUUUCUUCACCUUCAUGGGUUUUUGUUUUUUAUUUGUUAAUUUGAUUUUCUCUAGUAAUGCAUGAAUGAGUAUCAAUUGUAUUCAUUCAAAAAUGUGUUCAUGUAACUGCUUUUAGCUGUUGCUUAGUAAAUAUAAGUGAAAAAUGCUGUCCCUAUUUCUACAAAAUUGAAUGAUAGUAUUUGUAAACCAUGUGUCCUGUUGUAGUACAUGUAUACCUAUGUUUUUUCUAUUUAUACUAAACAUU
rnacentral:misc_RNA from 1 species